rnacentral:SRP_RNA from 1 species
GCCAGGCAUGAUGGCACAUGCCUGUAGUCCCAGCUACUCGGGAGGCUGAGGUGGGAGGAUCCCUUGAGCCCAGGAGUUCUGGGCUGUAGUGCGCUAUGCCAAUCGAGUGGCCACGCUAAGUUCGGCAUCAAUAUGGUGACCUCCCGGGAGCAGGAGACCACCAAGUUGCCUAAGGAGGGGUGAACCGGCCUAGGUCAGAAACGGAGUAGGUCAAAAUUCCCAUGCUGAUCAGUAGUGGGAUCGUGUCUGUGAAUAGCCACUGCACUCCAGCCUGGGCAACAUAGCGAGACCCCGUCUCU